rnacentral:rRNA from 1 species
CUUGGUUGAUCCUGCCAGUAGUCAUAUGCUUGUCUCAAAGAUUAAGCCAUGCAUGUGUAAGUAUGAACUAAUUCAGACUGUGAAACUAUGAAUGGCUCAUUAAAUCAGUUAUAGUUUGUUUAAUGGUAUCUACUACUCGGAUCACCAUAGUAAUUCUAGAGUUAAUACAUGCAACAAACCCAAACUUUUGGAAGGGAUUCAUUUAUUAGAUAACAGGUCGAUGCGGGCUACGCCUAUUGCUCUGAUGAUUCAUGAUAACUUGACGGAUCGCACGACCUUUGUACCGGUGAUGCAUCAUUCAAAUUUUUGCCCUAUAAACUUUCGAUGGUAGGAUAGUGGCCUAAUAUGGUGGUGACGGGUGAUGAAGAAUUAGGGUUCGAUUCCAAAGAGGGAGCCUGAGAAACGGCUACCACAUCUAAGGAAGGCAACAAGCAUGCAAAUUACCUAAUCCUAACACGGAAAGGUAGUAACAAUAAAUAACAAUAUCAAGCUCUAUGAGUCUAGUAAUUGGAAUGAAUACAAUCUAAAUCCCUUAACGAAGAUCCAUUGGAGGGCAAGUCUGGUGCCAGUAGCCACAAUAAUUCUAGCUCCAAUAGCGUAUAUUUAAGUUCUUACAGUUAAAAAGCUCAUAGUUGGAACUAGGGUUGGGUCAUCCAAUUCACCUCUCGGUGAGUACUGGUCUACUCGUCCCUACUGUCGGUGAUGUGCUCCUGGACUUAAUUGCUCGGGUUGCUCCUCCGACACUAUUCUUUGAAGAAAUUAGAGUGCACAAAGCAAGCCUACGCUUGUAUACAUUAGCAUGGGAUAACAUCAUAGGAUUUUGGUCCUAUUGUGUUAGCUUUCGAGAUCAGAGUAAUGAUUAACAGGGACAGUUGAGGGCAUUCGUAUUUCAUAGUUAGAGGUGAAAUUCUUGGAUUUAUGAAAGAUGAACAACUGCGAAAGCAUUUUCCGAGGAUGUUUUCAUUAAUCAAGAAGGAAAGUUGAGGGCUCGAAGAUGAUCAGAUACCAUCCUAGUCUCAACCAUAAACAAUGUCGACCAGGGAUCGACAGAUGUUACUUUUAGGACUCUGCAGGCACCUUAUGAGAAAUCAAAGUCUUUAGGUUCUGGGGGGAGUAUGGUCGCAAGGUUGAAACUUAAAGGAAUUGAUAGAAGAGCACCACCAGGAGUGGAGCCUACGACUUAAUUUCACUCCACACAGGGAAACUUACUAGGUCCAGACAUAGUAAGGAUUGACAAACUGAGAGCUCUUUCUUGAUUCUAUGGGUGGUGGUGUAUGGCCGUUCUUAGAUGGUGGAGUGAUUUGUUUGGUUAAUUUCGUUAACGAACGAGACCUUAGCCUGCUAACUAGCUAUGUGGAGGUGAUCCUUCAUGGCUAGCUUCUUAAAGGGACUAUGGCUACUUAGGCCAAAGAAGUUUGAGGCAAUAACAGGUUUGUGAUGCCCUUAAAUGUUCUAGGCCACACGUGUGCUACAGUGAUGUAUUUAAUGAGACUAUAGCCUUAGCUGACAGGCCUGAGUAAUCUUUAAAAUUUCAUCGUGAUGGGGAUAGAUCAUUGCAAUUGUUGGUUUUCAAUGAGGAAUUCCUAGUAUGCAUGAGUCAUUAGCUCACGUUGACUACGUCCCUGUCCUUUAUACACACCACCCGUCACUCCUACCGAUUGAAUGGUUCGAUGAAGUGCUCAGAUCACGGCGAUGUGGACGGUUUGCCGCCCACGACGUCACGAGAAGUUCAAUGAACCUUAUGAUUUAGAGGAAGGAGAAGUCAUAACAAGGUUUCCGUAGGUGAACCUGUGGAAG